rnacentral:rRNA from 1 species
UGGGGAAUAUUGGGCAAUGGGCGAAAGCCUGACCCAGCGACGCCGCGUGAGGGAAGAAGGUCUUCGGAUUGUAAACCUUAGUUAGCAGGGAAGAAGAAAGUGACGGUACCUGCAGAGAAAGCCACGGCUAACUACGUGCCAGCAGCCGCGGUAAUACGUAGGUGGCGAGCGUUAUCCGGAUUUACUGGGUGUAAAGGGCGCGUAGGCGGGGAUGCAAGUCAGAUGUGAAAUCUAUGGGCUUAACCCAUAAACUGCAUUUGAAACUGUAUCUCUUGAGUGCUGGAGAGGUAGAUGGAAUUCCUUGUGUAGCGGUGAAAUGCGUAGAUAUAAGGAAGAACACCAGUGGCGAAGGCGAUCUACUGGACAGUAACUGGCGCUGAGGCGCGAGAGCGUGGGGAGCAAACAGGAUUAGAUACCCUGGUAGU